GUCCAGUGUGUUGGGUAGAGUCCAGUGUGUUGGGUAGAGUCCUGUGUGUUGGGUAGAGUCCAGUGUGUGGGUAGAGUCCAGUGUGUUGGGUAGAGUCCAGUGUGUUGGGUAGAGUCCAGUGUGUUGGGUCGAGUCCAGUGUGUGGGUAGAGUCCAGUGUGUUGGAUAGAGUCCAGUGUGUUGGGUAGAGUCCAGUGUGUUGGGUAGAGUCCAGUGUGUUGGGUAGAGUCCAGUGUGUUGGGUAGAGUCCUGUGUGUUGGGUAGAGUCCAAUGUGUUGGGUAGAGUCCAGUGUGUUGGGUAGAGUCCAGUGUGUUGGGUAGAGUCCAGUGUGUUGGGUAGAGUCCAGUUUGUUGGGUAGAGUCCAGUGUGUUGGGUAGAGUCCAGUGUGUUG
ensembl:lncRNA